rnacentral:lncRNA from 1 species
UAUUUUUUUACACAAAUUAAAAAGUGUUAAUUUCUCAAUAAAAAGAAUAAAUUUUUAAAAACCUGAACCUGACUAUCAAUUUCAAAACCCGCACCCGAAUACGAUCGAUUUUAAAAAUUCAUAUCUAAACCCGGACCAGACUAAAAAUUCGAAAUCCAAAUCCGAAUCCGAAACAAUUAUUUCUCUUUACAAUAUUUCACAACAUAUUAUAUUAAAUCUAAACUUUUAAAAUACAAAUUCAAAUAUAGCACUAAACAUUUAUAAAAUUAAUUCGGAUUCGAGUUCGGGUCACGUACAAUUAAAAUUCAUACCAGAAUCUAAAUUCGUUGAAUUUUCAUUUUUAAUGUUCAUAUUCAAAACUAUAUAUAUUUAUUUAGUAUAAGAUAAAUCCAAUUUGGAUUCAUAUUCAAAUCCACCCGUGAGAUUUUUUGAUUUUUAUUUUAAUUUUCUUUACCCUAAAUUGUUUUUGUUCAAAGCCCUUUACGAGGUUUGUGGUUGGUAAAAGGCCACGAGGCGUUGUCAAAGAUGACACGUGGCGGGAUUUUAGUGGUUGCCAAUCAUCACACGGUUCAUUGUGAGCCACGAGCCCUCAACCUUGGCUAAUCCAUAUUAUUAUUAUUAUUAUUAUUAUUAUUAUUAUUAUUAUAUAUAAUAAUAUAAUAAUAUCUCCAUCCUCAAAAUAUCAUUUUUUUUAUCCACAAUAAUAAAAAAAUAAAAAAAUAAAAAAAAGAGUAAACAUGCAAUAAAUUAGCCCUUAUCCUUCCAAAGAAUAACAAUCUUGCCAUUGUGCUUUUGCAUCAUGCUACCCUAAUUAAUUAUUGUUUACAUGACCAUAUGAAAUGUGUUUUUUUUUUUAUUUGUGAUUUAAAAUUUAAAUGUUAGUUUAUCGAAUGUCAAUUUAAUGUAGUUUUGACUAACGAAAUAGAGAAAUAAUUUAUGUGUAUCUAGUAUUAAUUAAUACUUUAUUUAAUUGGAAUAAAAAAUAUAAAAUCUUCAUAGUAGCUAAUGGUUAUUUUAUUAUAAUUUUUUGCCUGGAUAUGUGACAUCUAUUUUAAUAUAAUUUUUUCUAAAAUGUAAAAUGAAUUAACCAUUUUGAUGGAGAGUAUAAUUAUUUAUUAUUUAUUAUUUAUUAUUUUCUAGCAAAAGUGCAUAUAGAUUGGAGAAAAUAUUUUACUUAUGAGUAAAACAAAAAUUAUUAUACAGAAAAAAAAAGGAGAUAUUUGAAACUCUGUUUAGGAUACUUUUUAGGGAAAACUUCAAAAACCCCCCCUGUGGUUUCACACUUUUUCAUUUUAGUACCCUGUGGUUUGAAGUGUAUCAAGUUAAUACCCUGUGGUUUCUCACUUUAUCACUUUAAUACCCUGUGGUUUAAAAUGUAUCAAGCUAGUACCCUGUGGUUUUGCACUUUAUCACUUUAGUACCUUGUGAUUUAAAAAACUAUAGGGUACUAACUUGAUACAAAAUUAAAACCACAGGGUACUAAAGUGAUAAAGUGCAAAACCACAGGGUACUAACUUGAUACACUUUAAACCACAGAGUGCUUAAGUGAUAAAGUGAGAAACCACGGGGUACUAACUUGAUACAUUUUAAACCACAGGGUAUUAAAGUGAAAAAAAUUGAAACCACAAGGGGGGUUUUUGAAGUUUUCCCUACUUUUUAUAACUAAAUAAACAGUAAAUAUUCGAAAUAUAAUUUCGUGAAAAUUAAGUUACCAACAAACAAGGGAGAGUAAGGAAGAAAAAACCUUUAUACAGGUUAUUUUGUAAAUACCUAAAACUGUAUGGGCAUAACCCACAUAAAUAGGGCAAAAAAAUAAAGGAUUAAUUGCAUACAGGUCCCCGCAAAUAUAAUAAAUUACAAACAUAUUCCUAUAAAGUUUUAACUUUCAUAAGUUAUCUCUGUAAAAGUUCUAAUAUUUUCAGAUGUGUUCAUCUGAUUUGUUACAGUUAAAGAACCACUAGAAAACUGUUUAUAUUUUUAAUUUUGCCAUCACAAAUAUGUCCUCGAAAAGUUAUAAUAACAGUAUAAUAUAAGAGGUAUAAAAAUGUUAAAAAUCCAUCCGGAUAAGUAUUUAAUUUAUGAUUAACUAAACAUUUCUAACGGAUUCUAACGGUAGGGACAUAUUUGAAAAUAUUAAAACUUUUACAGCAAUAACUUAUGAAGGUUAAACCUUAUAGGCAAAAAUCUGUAAUUUACUAUAUUUGCGGGGAUCUACAUGCAAUUGACCCAAAAAAAACACAGCCUCAAAACCAUUAAAAAAAAAUAUAAAAUUAAAAAAAAUAUAGAAAUAUCUAAAAUUUCUCCACCCCUAAAAAAUUUUUGCAUCUCUUUUUAAGCUUUUGGUUCAGAGAUUUUCCUUCUCUUUGUGGCCUCUCCCUCUGUCUCCCUUCACUGUGAGUGAGAGACUGAGAGAGAAGAGCUCCGAUCAAACCCUAACCCUAACCCUAACCCUAAUUCGCAACGCUAACGCCAUGGAUAUCUGUUCCAAGCUCCGCCGAGUCGACCUCCGAUCGCGCCUCCUCCCCGUCGCCUCCCCACUCCUCGGAAACCCUCGGCUCCAUCCCCGGUCCCACCUCUCCUUCCGCCGAGGCACCCUCGUUCCCUCUUCCGGAACUGGAAACCCUAGGAUCUCCGCUCGGUUGGCUGUGGACGCCGCGGCGGCAGAGACGGAGACGGCGACGGAGAUCGAUAUCGAAUCCCUCUUCUCCAGUAGCUCCGGCGAUGGCGCCUCGAAGAAGCAGGCGAAGAAGAAGCCGAGCACGGGCGCGUCGAGCGUGUCGUCGGGGGUGCGGCUCGAGAGCAUCAGCAAAAGCUUCAAAGGUGUCACCUUGCUGAAGGACGUGAGCUGGGAGGUGAAGAAGGGGGAGAAAGUAGGGUUGGUAGGCGUGAACGGGGCCGGCAAAACCACCCAACUCCGGAUUAUUGCCGGAUUGGAGGAACCCGAUUCGGGGAACGUAAUAAAGGCGAAGGAGAACAUGAAGAUCGCGUUUCUGAGCCAGGAAUUCGAGGUGUGCCCUAGCCGGACGGUGAAGGAAGAGUUUUUGAGCGCGUUCAAGGAGGAGAUGGAGAUCGCGGAGCGAUUGGAGAAGGUGCAGAAGGCGCUGGAGAGCGCGGUGGAGGAUAUGGGGCUCAUGGGGAGGCUGCUGGAUGAGCUGGAUUUGCUGCAGAGGAGGGCGCAGGACGUGGACCUCGACGAGGUCGAUGUGAAGAUCAGUAAGCUGAUGCCGGAAUUAGGGUUCUCGCCGGAGGAUUCGGAGCGGUUGGUUGCGUCGUUUAGUAGUGGGUGGCAGAUGAGGAUGUCACUCGGGAAGAUUCUACUUCAGGUAUAUUCCGCAUUAUCCUUAUCAGUUUUAAUUGUAUUAAAGUGAAUACUAUCAUGUCUAUUUGUUGUUGAUGUUUGAUUAGAAUGAAAUUGUUAUGCAGAUAGAUUCCAAUUUUUUGUUUAAAAUAGGCUAAGUUGCUGAAAUAUCCAACUGUAAUUAUCAUAUAUAUUUUUUUCCAUCUUAGGAUGAUUACAAAUACUUACAUCCAUACAAACAAACACUCUAUAAAGCUGAAAACAUAUGGAAGCUGAAAAUUGGUUCAUCUUGGGAUGAUUACCCAACUUUUUUAAGUUUAAGUUUUGCUACCUAACCUUUCAGUUCGGUGAUUCGGUUGAUUGGUAUGUUGCUGCAUUGAGCUACAAGAUUUACUUUGCCUCCUUUGUCGGUGUUAUGUCAGACGACAUCCAUCACUUAACUCAUUGGACAAUGGGAUAAAUGUAGUUUUACCAUUUUAGAGAUGUCGAUGUGAAAAUCACGAUGUUGGUAGAUGGUUUCCCUGGUACAAACUUACUAGAAGUAUGUAUUUGAUUUAGACUGUAGGUUUAAGUCGCUCAUUUUCUGCUUGGCAUUGUUAUCUUUUAUUUAUUCUUCAUUCUGUGUCCAUUCGUCGAUUUAUCAGUUAGUAUUAUUUGCCUAUUGUUUGGUUCGAAGAAUGGGGCAUAAUAUAAGCUGACAUUUGCAGGAUCCGGAUUUGCUGCUGCUUGAUGAACCGACGAACCAUCUCGAUUUAGACACGAUUGAGUGGUUAGAAGGGUAUCUGAACAAGCAAGACGUUCCGAUGGUUAUCAUAUCUCACGACAGGGCUUUUCUCGAUCAACUAUGCACCAAAAUCGUAGAAACCGAUAUGGGGGUAUCAAGGACUUUUAUGGGUAACUAUUCGGAGUAUGUCCUUCAAAAAGCAGCAUGGGUAGAAGCCCAGAAUGCAGCUUGGGAGAAGCAGCAGAAGGAGAUUGAACAUACUAAAGAGCUAAUAAACAGAUUGGGAGCCGGUGUUAAUUCUGGGCGAGCUUCUAGUGAGGAAAAGGUUAUUAUUGUGUUUCUGGAAAAUUAAGCCUACUUCUUUUUAGACGAAUUUGUUGUGUUAUAACUAGUAAAGUCAUAGUAUCAGACUUCUCUAUUCUUCUCAUUGUUAAAUAGUUUGCAAAUAGCAUUUUUUCAAAAAACAAAGAUGUAAAUAUGUACAAUAUAUAUUUUGGCAAAUAAAACCUUUAGACGUAGAGUUUGUACCUCAAAACUUGGGGUGAAGAUAUGCCAAAUGAGCCCUUACUAGUUAUUAAUUGUUGUAAUUUGAUUUAUAUUUGUUGGUUCUAUCCUAAACUUAUUGUAAUUUACAGAAAUUGGAGAGGCUUCAAGAAGAAGGAAAAAUCGAGAAACCUUUCCAAAGGAAGCAAUUAAAGAUCAGAUUUCCCGAGCGUGGAAGAAGUGGUAGAACAGUAUUAAUGAUGAAGAAUCUUGAAUUCGGGUACGGUGAUAAGGUCAGUAUAUUUAGUACAUGUAAAAGGUUCUUUUCUGGAACAUAACUUUGAAAAUGGAUGCAUACAUUUUAAUUCUUUUUCACUUAAAAGCAGCACAUGCUACUCACUUCUCACAGAAAUUGCUAAUUCGUGCCUUUGAAAUGCACUGCCAGGUGUUGUUUAAGAAGGCAAAUCUUUUAGUUGAAAGAGGUGAGAAGAUAGCCAUUAUUGGUCCAAAUGGAUGCGGAAAGAGUACAUUGCUUAAACUUGCCAUGGGUUUGGAGAAGCCUCGUGCUGGUGAAGUUUUACUUGGGGAGCAUAAUGUAUUGCCGAACUAUUUUGAGCAGAACCAGGUAUCUUAAAUUUGGUUAGGUGCAUAUCUUUUUCUUUUAUGAUGUUAAGUUUUAUAUUCAUCGGCACACAGGCUACACGUCUAAUGUCUUGCUAGUGGAUGUUUGUUAUUCUUAUGCUGCUAAGGCCUUGUUUGGUCCCACAUUGAGCUUUUGCAAACAUGCUAUUUAAGCAGAGUUUUUCGAAGAAGCACUAUAAGCUCUUUUUAGUUUUGUAUUAUUUGGCACGGCAACAACUGUGGACUUUCGGCUUAACAAGUGCCACAUUUUUUUCUUCCUUGAGUAGGCAAGCCGUUCCGAAGCCAAAUGGAUUAUAAUUUGCACCAAGGAAAAAAAUUUGUUUUCCUAUAGAUGCAUGGAUGAUUCUUUGAGUUAUGUGAUCCUGUUCCCUUUAGAGUUGAGUAGUCCUCUUUCUUUAUGUGAUGUAAACCUGUAUAUAUUUAGGAUCAAAUCAUCUGCUCUAUAGCUAUUUAUUUACAGUGCUUAAAUUGUGAAUUUUUCUUACAUUACUUUGCCUUUUAUAGUAAUCGAGCAUUGCAAUUCUGGUUUCAGGCAGAGGCACUUGAUUUGGAGAAAACGGUGCUGGAAACAGUUGAAGAAGCUGCGGAAGAUUGGAGGAUCGACGAUAUUAAAGGUCUCCUUGGCCGCUGUAACUUUAAGGCCGACAUGCUAGAUAGAAAAGUCGCACUUUUAAGUGGUGGAGAGAAGGUAAGGAAAUAGUUACCUAUAAUUCAUCUUUCCCUUUUUUUUUCCUUGGGUUCCAUCAAAUAUUUGUUCUGUGCCAAUGUGUUUAUCAUUUUCUGUAAAGUAAUGAAACCGUUCCUCUUAAAGAAAUCUUUUUCUAUUACAAGACCAAUUCCCUUACUUAACAGAAAGUUAUUUUCUUCCGAUGGGAACAUAUUGAAGCCUCUUUAUGACACACUAGCUUAAUCUAACAUAUAUUGCGUACAGGCACGACUAGCAUUUUGCAAAUUCAUGGUGAAGCCAUCUACCUUGUUGGUGUUGGAUGAACCGACCAACCAUUUGGAUAUCCCUUCAAAAGAGAUGCUAGAGGUAAUACACUCAUUUUAAUUCAGUAUCUGAGCAGCUUUAUGUUUAUGUAUUAGGUUUAUUGCACGCAAUUGAAGCUUUGGAUUUCUUUGGAAACUUUUUGAUGUUUAACAGGAGGCUAUACAAGAGUAUAAGGGCACCGUCAUUACUGUUUCUCAUGAUCGGUACUUCAUAAGGCAAAUAGUAAAUAGAGUAGUGGAGGUGAAAGAUAAAACCCUACAAGACUAUGCAGGCGAUUACAAGGUAAGCCGUGUACCACAAGUAUAAUUAUAAACAUGUGCUUUUCUUGUGACAAUCUUUCCCCUCAUUUGAAAUAUUUGAAGGAUCUUAAGAUGAAAUUCCCACUAUGACUACUCUUUAAUGUAAAACAAAUUUUUAUCCACUUAGUUACUAUAAUUUUGGUGUAUCAAUCCACAUCUAAGUAUAAUACCACACAAUUUUACUCUGAAAUUAGAUUACACUAUUAGUCGAUAACGUUACUAAUAUCGGAGGAUCUCUUUUUGAUCAUUUGAACAGUAUUACCUUGAAAAGAACCUUGAAGCUAGAGAAAGAGAACUUGAGCGCGAGGCUGAGCUCGAGGAAAAAGCUCCCAAAGUGAAGGCAAAAUCUAAGAUGUCAAAGGUGAUUACUACUUUUUGAAUGGUUCUCUUCCUUUUCCUUUCUCUCUAAUUUCAUUUUGUAUUUUUGUGCCCUUUUCCCCUUACAUCUUCUAAUAAAGUGGGCUUUAAAUUAGGAGGAGAAAGAAGUCAGGAAGAAGCAGAAAAUGAUGGCUUUUCAACAAGCAAAGUCAAAGUCGAAAGCAUUGAAGAACGCAAAGCGAUGGAAAUGAGCAGUACCGUCCAUGAUUUAGUGUAAAUCGAAGAUCGACAGUGUAAUUAACGAUCAAAGGGCUUAAAAUCAUUGUACAUAAUAGAGACAGAAGCUAAUGAAAACAUAAUUUAUUUUACAUUAUUUUAAGAUCGUUUUUCAAAUGAUACACAACACACAUGCUUCUGCUACUGUACAUUGGUUAUUUAGUAGUAUUACAAUUUCACCUCUACAUGACAUAUUGUGUAAAAUUGCAAAAAAGGCCCUGUAGUGUCAUGCAGUUCAACAUUAAACUUGAUUACAUUUUAGGGUUUGAAUCGGGCUUUGAUCCGCAUUUAAGUGAUGUGUUUGGGUUGAGCUUUUCGUUGGAAGUUUAUCUCAAUAUGUGAAGUGACUCUGACUUGAUUCGAAUCUUGGUUUUUGAUCUUUUGAGCUUUUGCCGUGUCGGCAAUUCAUUAAAUAUGGUUUCAUAUGGCUUAUUCUUGAGUUGGAAAAUGUAUCUCCAAUAUGUAUGUACUCUAUCCAGUCAAUUUGCAUCAAGUUGUUACCAGAAUCUCCACUCUCUUUCUGUCCAAAGUGUUACUUUCUUAUUAUUUAUAAUUGUUAAUUAAGUAUAGACCGCGAACCGGCAUGUUGAUGUAAGACUAGUUUCCAUUUGUUUCGAAACCUGAGAUUCCUAUAUCAUUGUUUUUCAUGUAAAAUACUAUGGCUUGUAUUAUAUUUGGUUUUGACUUUUUAUUAUUCUUUCAGAAAUGUGUACUCUCUCUGUUAAUAACUUUGGGGAUUUCUAUGUAGGAAGUCAGAGCCUGAAUCUCUCUCUACAGGUUGGUUGAUCAAUUGAGCCUUUGAUUUUCUAUGUUGCAGUCCCUGAAGUCAUUUACAGAGAGAGAGAUUACCACAAAGGAUUGACUCCUUUGUUCACUCUCAUUCAAUUUUUCUGAAAGGAUGGUGUUUUGGGAAGGGUACAUCAGUGACGAGAUGAUGGGCACGAUCGCCGUGCGUGUACUGGGUCCACCGUGGCGCAUACGAGCUCCUCUUUCUAUUGCAGUUGCCAGUUGCUGUUGCUGGAGCGCUUUCGGCUCCACACGCAGCGAGAAGAAGAGGAGAAGAACUUGGUGCAGUUGCCGGAGGUGGCGAAGGGUGUUCUCUUGCAGCAGCUUUUUCAAGCAAUAGUUGUGCAGCUUCUCUUUUCUGUAAGAAUCAAAUCUUUUAGUACUCACAAUUGUUUUACAUGCAUGUUUAUUUAUGUAUAAUAGUAAUGCAUACUUGUUUUUGUAGUCGUGAUCUUGCAAUCUUAAAUAUGCUUUUAUUUGCUUAUUGCAGCUAACUUCUGGAUCUAGUCCAACUAAGGAAGUACCCCAACCCCCCAAUUCUCGCCCAACUCGUCCGAUUCUUCGUUGCGAUGCUCGCAAUGGACGCGUGGCAGUACUGCAUCCACCGAUACAUGCACGAGAACAAGCUCUUGUACCGCCACAAUCCACUCCUGCCACCACCGUCUGAUCGUUACCUACGCGGUCGGCGCCCUCUACAACCAUCUGCUAGAGGGACUCUUCGUAGACACCUUAGGGGGAGCCAUAUCUUUCCUCGUGUCGGGGAUGACGCUGAGGACGGCUGUGUACUUCUUUUGCUUCUCGACGAUCAAGACCGUCGAUGACCACUGCAGCAUGCUGCUGCCUGGAAAUCUCUUCCACAUUUUCUUCGAGAACGGUUCUGCUUACCACGAUAUCCAUCACUCGCUCCGGGGGUCCAGGUACAAUUACUCGCAACCGUUCUUUCUGUUCUGGGACAAGGUGAUGGGGACUCACAUGCCCUACACGCUAGUCGACCGAGAGGGCAGCGGCGGUUUCGAGGCGAGGCCGUCGAAAAUGACUAGCUAGCUCAAGUUCUUGGAUCACUAUGCGGAUUUCGAUUGUUCAAAGUGAAUUACAAUGUUAAGUUGUGUUCAAGGCCAAGUAGAGGACCUGAUGUUGUUCUUUUACACUUUGUUUACAAAAGUGCUUAUCAAGAAAUCUCUUCUUUACUGGAGAAAUUUGCUCGCAUGAAUUUAUUUUAUAUAUAUAUAUAUAUAUAUANAUAUAUAUAUAUAUAUAUAUAUAUAUAUAUAUAUAUAUAUAUAUAUAUAUAUAUAUAUAAGAAAAAGGCUUUAUUGCCAACACGAUAAACAAAAAGUCUAUAUGCAAAACGAGAGAAAAAUAUUUUGGAGCUCUUACUUUGUCAAGUGUGGGAGUGCCUAACACAACAUGCAUAUAUGAAUUUGAAUGUUUCAAAUGUAAAUAUUUUACUAUGCAGUCCCCCUCAAGAGUAGUAAAAGCCAAAAUGUUGAGACCAAUUGAGGGUUGUAGCUUAAAGUGCCUUCAUUUUCCAAUUGAGACGUUUUUAAUUUUUAUGUUUUCAUUCAUUUUUGUUUAGUAGAACUUGAAUAUAUUGUACAGUUUUUGGUGCUCAUUGGUUUAAGGGCUUUUUUUGCAAAUAGCCUCCUGAAAAUAUUUUAUUUUAAAACUAGUCCCAAUAAAUUUAUAAUUGUAAAAAUGGCCUACUCCUGUCUCCUGCUACACAAGCGCCCCGUGGGCAGGCUGAGAGCCUGAUUGGCAAGUUGAACAUGGUGAAUGAUUCACCGUGUUUCAUAUUUAUAUUAAUUUUCUUCUCUUUUAGGGAUGUCAACGGGUCGGGUUUGGAUCAGGCUUUCAAAAAUCGAAUCCGAAUCUGAAAAUUAAAUUAAAACCCGAACCCGAAUCCGAAAAUUAAAUUAAAAUCCGAACCCGAAUUCGAACCCGGCGGAUUUUAAAAAUCCAUACUCAUAUAACUUUAAUAUAUGGAUAUGGGUAUGGAUUUUUAAAACCCGCCGGGUGUGGGUUCAUAUUCGUGUUUUAAUUUGAUUUUCGGAUUCGAUUUCGGGUUUUUGAAAACUCAAUCCAAACCCGACCCGUUGACACCCCUAAAAGAGAAGAAAAGGAAUAUAAAUAUGAAACAUAAUGAAUCAUUCACCGUGUUCAACUUCACCGUGUUCAACUUGCCAACCAGCCUCUCAGCCAGCUCAUGUGACGCUUGCGUGGCGCUUGCGUGGCAUGAGUAGGUUAUUUUUGCAAUUAUAAAUUUAUUGGGACUAGUUUUAAAAUAAAAUUUUGUUAGGGGGUCAUUUGCAAAAAAAACCCUUGGUUUAAUGAAGUAUCAUAAAAAUUAAAAAUAGAGGGGCUUCCAUGCAAAAUGCAUGGGCCCAUUGGGUCUCCUCAACAUUUCAAAAUAGAGCACCCUUCUAUGCAGGGAUACAAACGGAACGGAUCCGGCGGCGGAAAGAAUUUACCAUCUCCCACUCCAUUUCUUUGCUGGAUUGGAUCGAAUUCGCAAAGACAGAUUAAAGUGACGCUAAAUUUUUGACAAAUUUUCGGUAGACCGAGAUAGAUUAAGAAAAAAAAGAAUCUCCUAACCUCUGCUUUAUUUUCUUAUAAACGAAUUGGGCACAUUCAAUACGAAUUAUUAUAUUAUUAUUAAUAUUUCUUUAUCUUAUAUUUGGCCCUCAUUUACUGUCUUAUUUGAGCAGAGAUUUCUUUUCCAUUUGAGUAAUAAUUUUUUUAAAAAAAUUGAUAUAUAAAAAGUAUAAAAUUCUGUGCUGUGAUAGAAAUUGAGAUAAGUUUUUGCAAUUAACCAAAUUAAAAUAAGUUGCUUUAUUACAAAAAUAGAAAUUGCAUAAAAUUUUCAACAAACCCAAUCCUCCCAAUAAAACACAAAACAGCUAAAAAAAAAAAAAGAUGAGAUUAUUUUUAACAUAAAUUACCCAUCCCCACCUCUCAAAAUAAAUAAACAAAAUAGCUUAAAAGAAAAAAAGAAGAAGAAGAGAGAUUGUUGGGCUUAAUCCAAUCUCAAUUACAUAAUAAAAUCACAUAAAACAAUCAACAAAAAAACACAUCUUAUUUUUUUUUCUAACUAAUCAUGGGAUUGGAACUCUACGAUCUCCCUCAAAUGGAGUUUAAACAGAGAAAAACAGAAACAGGGGAGUGGAAAGAAAGAGAAAAAGAGAAUUUCUCUACCAACUAAAUUACAUAAAUGAUCAAUACAAAAAAUAUCUAAGCAAACAAAAAAAAAAAGAGAGGAGAUUUUGAGGCUUAAUCCAAUCUAAAUUACACAAAUUUAGAUAAGAUAAUCAAACAAAAAAAUCUAUUUAAUCCUGGGAAUAGAAAUCUAUGAUCUUCCUCAAAUGGAGCUUAAACAGAUUUUGGGGCUUAAUCCAAUAUAAAUUACACAAAUUUAGAUAAGAUAAUCAAACAAAAAAAUCUAUUUAAUUCUGGGAAUAGAAAUCUAUGAUCUCCCUCAAAUGGAGCUUAAACAGAUGACGUGAGAGAGAGAGAUUCCCACGAACUAAAUUACAUAAAUUACCAAUAAAUCUCGCAAAAAAAAAAGAGGAAGAAAAGGAUAAAAAUGAGAUUUUGGGGCUUAAUUAAAAAUUGAAUCAACCAAAAUGACUUACUCCUGGGAGUAGAACUCUAUGAUGUCCCUCAAAUGGAGCUUAAACAGAGAAGCGGAAACAGGGGAAACAGCGGAGGAGGAGGAGGAGGAAGAAGAGGAAGGUGAUGAGCGCUCGUUGUGGGCCAUCCACAGCGCGUGCUCGAAGAGGAUCGCGUCGGCGUCCACAAAGACGACGCCCCCUUUACUCCUACCCCUCUUCGUCUUUGCCGCCGCCGCCGCAGCAUCCAUUAAAGCCCUAACGGGCUCCUUCUCGAGCACGGAGGGGUCGACGUGGAACACCCUCCGCUCCUUCCCCACCACCACCACCGCCAUCGUCGGCGCCGGCGAGGCGGCGGCGGCGUCGGCGAGGGGGAGGUAGCUCCGCCGCGAGGGGCGGCGCCCCGGGCGGCGGCGGUGCCGGAGGAGGGGGGCGCAGCACCCCGCCGAGGUGGGCUCGGCGAUAUUGGCGACGCGGUUGGGGUGGUGAGGACGCAUCGGUGGAGAGAGAGAGAGAGAGAGAGAGAGAGAGAGAGAGCGCAAGGGGAGUAGAGACAGAGAGAUCCCCUUUUAUAGGGGGGGAGAGGGUGUAAAUUGCAAAAUCCUAGGGUCCUUGUACUAUAACGAUUUUGCAGUUUGGUCCUCCUGUUUUUUCUUAUUUUGUUUUUUUUUCUUUUUUAAAUUAAUAGAUGUUCUAAAGUUGCACGCUCAUCUAUUUUUUAGAAUAUAAUAAAAUUCAAACUUAGAAUCUACGAUUGUAGAAUGCAGCGAAAGUAUUUUUUUGUAUUUUUUUGAAAGCAGCUCGGGUUAUAACGCAACAACUUUCGAACCAUAAAAGUUGAUUCAUGUGUUCUUGGAUCGCUCAAGAAGGUCUUCUAAGUCUCUAAACUUGCGGAAGAUCAAACUAAAAACUAACACGAUUUCUGAGUCACUGUUUAAGACCUCUAAAAUCAAUAGUUAAUAGAGGAUAUGAUUUCUCUCUCUCUCAUAAGGUGGCUCACAAAUUAUUUAUGAGUAUUUUUCUCUUUUUUUUUUUCUUCCUAUAAGAUAAUAGCUAAUAUAUUUAUAAGGAAUCUCAAAACUCUAAUAGGUAGGUAAAAGAUUAAGUCAAGUCGGUUUAUAAUUAUUAUCCUAAUAUGACUAAAGCAUAUUUCUAAUUAUUUUUUCAAUUUAAAAGGAGAUUAAGUCUAGUCCAAUUAAACAACAUAAUAACUGUCAGAUUAAAUCCGCUAUGAGCAAUUCUGAUUCGAUUUAACCGAAUGCAAACAACUAUAUUCGAGCUUGUUGGAAUUAGAGGGCAGUAGAAACUUACAAAUUGGUUUUACUAGUUUGGAUGUCCUUGUCUUGAUGGUUAUAAAUCUCUCACGUAUCUCGCCUUCUUUCACGCCUACGUCUUGCGUUACGGAUCGAACACAUCGGACACAGAUCGAAUGCGACAGAGAAUUCUCUUCUAUAUCCAAACUCCAAACUCCGGAAAUAUAUGUGAAAAUUCCAAAGAAAAAGAAGAAAGAGAAAUAAAAGAUCUAAAAUUCUUUUCUCUUUUUUAUUUCUAUCGAUCAUAUGGGAGAAAAGGGAUGUAUUUAUAAAAUAACAAAACCCUUUAAAUAUUCUAUAUUUCACAGGAAGAUUAGAAUAAAGAUUAUGAUUAGAAUAUCUAUUAACAUAUAAUAUAUAUUCAUUAAGAAAUAUAUUUCUUAACUGAUAAGAAAUAUACAAUUUAUUCUUAUCCUAAAUUUAUUAGAAUAAAUCAUUAUCCACAUCUUAUAUAAAUCAGGUUAAAUUAAAACCCGUCAAUAUGGAUACACGACAUUGCAACAGACGUAAAUUGAAAUAAAUGGGAGCUGUUCUAUCAAAUUAGCAGUAAAAUAGUAAUUUUAUAUUAAAAAAAUAACAAAUCUUUAAUACUCAAUAAUUAAAGUAUAAUAAUAAUUUAUGUAAAAGUUUAGCUGUUGAAGUGAAGGUCAAGUAAAGAGUCCAAGAAUUAAAUUAACACAAGGAGUAAUCCACAAAUAUUUUGAAAAUAAAAAAGAAAUUUAUGACUUGGUCACCUGGAUAUAAUUGAGAGAGAAAGAGAGAGAAUUAGUCUAUUUGCUGCUAAUCUGGAUAUAAUUGAGAGAGAAAGAGAGAGAAUUAGUCUAUUUACUGCUAAUCUGCUAAUCUGGAGAAAGUCGUACUGCCGGUGAUUUCUCUCUAAUUUCUUGUGUAAUUUUGCGUAGUGCGACAACGACGGAAUCUGCACCAUCCAGGUUAGUACAUGUAUUGAAAAUUUCAAAUUCGAAAUAUAGAUGUUUCAUAUUUUUAGCUGAAUUUAUUUUUAAAAUAAAUAUACGAAACGAUAGCUUGCAAUCAUUCUCUCUCUCUCUCUCUCAAAAAAAAAAAAAAAGGAAAAUAUCAACUGCGCUGAUUAACCAGUUGGUUGGAAUUAAAUCACCAGCGAUCAAGAUGUGUUAAAAAAUGGGAGUAAAAUGAAGUUAAAAAGGAAAACUAUUAAGUACAGCAACAACAUCUGAGAAUUUAUGCGAGACAUGGAGAGCAUCAAAUGCAACUAUUAAACAUCUUUAAAUAAAAAAAUAGAUAAUUACCUAUAUACUAUUUAUUCGUUUGAAAAUAUUCAAUUUAUCCUUUUUUUUCUGUCUAAAAUACCCUUUAUAUGUCCCACCGUUAUUGCAAAAUACCCUGCAGUUAUCACCUGUUAAGUUAACUUGAGUUAAACGUGAUUUAAAUAUCUACCAUAGUUAAAAAAAAAUUAAAAUACCAAUUUUGUCCUUAACUUAAGGGCAAAUAAGAAAUGUUGGUCACGGUAGAGGGGGUAUAUUUGAAAAAAAGACCAAAAGUCAAAGUAUUUUUUGUGCCAUGACUUAAGGGCAAAAAAGAAAAGUCGGUGAUGGUGAAAGGGUAUAUUUGAAAGGGCAAGAUAGUAAUUUUAUACAGAUAAUAGAGUUUAUUAACAGAUUUUAACUCUAGAGGGGUAUAUUUGAAAUAGGUUGGAACAUAAAAAAUGUAUUUUCAAUAUUAACCUUUUAAGAUGAGUAAAUCAGAAGGUCGGGAAUUUUUUGAAGGUAUAUAAGCAAUUACACCAAAAACAAAUGAAAUUUGAUUACAAUUUAAAAUUAAUUUAAAAUCAUAUCAAUGGGGAUCCGUGGCGCAAUGGUAGCGCGUCUGACUCCAGAUCAGAAGGUUGCGUGUUCGAUUCACGUCGGGUUCAAAAAAAUCCCGAAAAUUUCAAACGGAUUCAAACUUUUUUAAAUUUUUUAAAAAAUUACUGAGAAAUUUUAAAUAUACUAAAAGUAAUUACUUUUAUUGAAUUUAUUAAAAAUUGACCUUAGCAAUUAAAUUUAAUAUUUUGGUAAAUUUAGCUCUCUGGGUAGUUGGAGUAAUAAAUUUCAAGAAGCUUUUUAUUUCAAUGAUUAUUAGAAAUACACAAACAUAUUUUUGAAACUUAUAAAUUCGUUUUUGUUUCCCAAUAUAAUAUGUGCUUCAAACUUUGUAUUUAUCAAAUAAGCAUCUUAAUUUUUAUACUUGUCAAAUAUUUCAGAAGGUGGUUUCAAAUAAGCAUCUUAAUUUUUAUACUUGUCAAAUAUUUCAGAAGGUGGUUUCAAUUAAACAGUAAUUUGAAUCAUUUAUAGCAUUUUGUAUUUUAAAAUUUAAAAAAAUGGCUGAACGGUUGUGAUCAAUAUAAUAUUUAUUAUGAUUUAAGCAGUUACUAAAUUUUUAUACAUGUUACUCUUUAAUUUAUAAUUACUAUAAAAAAGUCAAACUUUUAUUAUAAAAUAAUAUUUAUUUAUAUUUAUAAUUUAUAAUAAAGUAAAAAAAAAAUAAAUUGUUCAUUGAAAAAAAUCAUAGAAUUAUUUAUAAAGAAAAUAUUUUUAAUAUGAAUUAUAACACGGAUCUCUAACACGCGGUCCGGUCGAACCCGGUCCGGUUCGAUCCCCAACCGGUAGGAUUUAUAACAACCACGAACUCUUCCGGUUCAAUUCGACCGGUUUUCUCAUUACCCCCGUCAUCGCUGCGAAGGGUGCGGGGGUGUGUUUCAUUCAACCCGCGCGAUGGGCUCAAUGGAGGGGGCGAAGGCGGAGAACGGCGGCGGCGCCGCCGUGGCGGUGGUGGCGUGCAACGGCGGCGGGGGCGGCGGCGAAAACGUGGGGCGGCGGGGUAAGGCAGCGGCGGCGGCGGCGGCGGCGGCGGCGGCGGGGACGGCGGCUCUGCCGCUGGAGGUGGGGACGAAGGUGAUGUGUCGGUGGAGGGACCAGAAGCUCCACCCCGUCAAGGUCAUCGAGCGCCGCAAGAUCUCCUCCGGGGGGGCCAACGACUACGAGUACUACGUCCACUACACCGAGUGUGAGCGCUCUCCCGACACUCCCACGAUCGCUUUUAGGGUUAGGAUUAGGAUUUGUUUGUUUUAGGGGAAAGGACGGGGGAGUUCGGUAUCUGGGAGGAUUGAGUUUGAUUUGGAUGGAAAUAGCCGAAUUGGGGGAGCUAGGGAUGGUUAGGGCUAGAGUUAGGGUUAUGGUUUGUAUGUUUGGGGGGAAAGGACGGGGGAGUUGGGUAUCUGGGAGGAUUGAGGUUGAUUGUGAUGGAAAUAGCCGAAUUGGGGGAGCUAGGGUUGGUUAGGGCUAGAAUUAGGGUUAUGGUUUGUAUGUUUGGGGGGAAAGGACCGGGGAGUUGGGUAUCUGGGAGGAUUGAGGUUGAUCCGGAUGCGAAUGGCCGAAUUGAUGGAGCUAGGGUUUUGUCUUGGUAAAUUUGCACAGGAAACCCCCCUAAAUUAUAGGCCGUUUUGAAUUAAGCAUCUUCAAUUUUUCUCCGUUGAUAGACGUUUCCCCUAAAAUUUUUUAUUCUUUUGAUAUGAAUUGUUUUCGUUGAUUAAGUUAGAGAUUUUUGUUGAAUUUAGCGAGGAAGCUGCGAGCUUUGGUAGUAGGAUAGCUAAUGCAGCUUUUAGUUUAAAUGAAUCUUGAAUUAAAUUUAGGAGAAUAGUUCAAAUUAAAACAAUUGGAAAUUUGGAGGUUUUAAGGCCUAUAGUUUGGGGAAUAUUCACACAUUUUUAACUUUUGGCCUAUUGUUACAUGAUUAUUGUUUCUUCAUUAGCGAAGGAGCUUCGGGUAGCGUUUGGUUUCGGAAUAUGGUGGGGAUAGUGAUAGAUAUCCCACUAUUCCUCCAAAUACAGUGGUUAUAUAUACUUUGUCACGUGUAAUUGGAUAGGAAGUAUAUCCUCAGAGCAAGUUUAUCCCCGCAGAUAGCAACUUCAUAGGAUUAUGGUGGAAUUAUGCUUCCCCCCUUAGAGGUUUUUACCCCAGCUAAUUACUUUAUAACUAAACCCAAGAGGGACAACUCGAAGAACUAAAACCUUAUUCCUGUAGGUUAUUUUCCUGCGUGCUUUCGACUAGGCAAUUGUAAAACUUUUUCCUGUUAUUACUGGAGCUCUUGAAUUUUCAUCUGUUGUUCUUUUAGUUCUUCUAACUUGUUAGCUACGAGUGAUAUUCUAUUUAUCAUUUGUUGAUCUGAAAUUCUGUGUGAUUAACAAGUCGGGUUUUGGAAUCCAUGCUACUCUGGCCUACCAUUUGGAGAUCUUUUGUAUAUAAUGUAGAGAUGUCUAUCAAUAUCUCAUCAUUACCUCUUUAACAUUGUCAAAGUGAUGUCAAAUGUUCAAUUUGAAAUGUAUGAUCAGUGUAAUUUCAGUCUCAUUUGGCGUUAUUCUUAUUCAUUUUAUAGCACUUGAUUGUUCUGUGUAGUUAACAGGAGGCUUGAUGAGUGGGUUAAGCUUGAGCAAUUGGACCUUGAUACAGUGGAGAGUGACAUCGAUGAAAAAGUGGAAGACAAGGUAUAACAUACACGAAAGUAACUUUCAUAUUGCUUAAGUAGAAAUCUAAUUGUUAAGUCUUGAUCCUCCCCGACUUUUUGAUUUACUGGAAACUUUUGAGAUAAGCCUACAAAAUACUCAUUUUCGGACUUCUUAAAUUUAUGUAACUAUGUUCCUGAUUUAACAUGAUAUUAGGGAAAGUGGCUUACACAUGAUCCUGUGCAAUCUGUUUCAGGCAACAAGCUUGAAAAUGACGAGGCACCAAAAGCGGAAAAUUGAUGAAACACAUGUGGAGGUAUCUUGAUUAUUAUGAUCGACAAAACCUUUUUUUUUUUUAUGUUAUUGCACUGCUUACUUAAGUCAUAUUGAUAUGACUUCCCUUUUUCAGAUAAAGCUCAUAGUGAAUAAGUAGUUGAUGUAUACUGUUUUUUCAUUCUAGAAGACAUGGACCGAAAAAGAAUAUACUAUGACAUUAAUACUUAUCAAGCUUAAUACUUGUUCAGCAAGGUCAUGAGGAGCUUGAUGCUGCUAGUUUGCGCGAACAUGAGGAGUUCACUAAAGUGAAAAACAUUGCAAAGAUAGAGCUUGGGCGAUAUGAGAUUGACACAUGGUACUUUUCCCCUUUUCCACCAGAAUACAAUGACUCUCCGAAGCUCUACUUCUGUGAGUUUUGCCUCAAUUUCAUGAAGCGCAAAGAACAGCUUCAGCGGCAUAUGGUAAGUAGUAGCUAUUUCUUUUCCUUUAGUUGGGCUUUGGCCUGCUAUUUAUUUUUGUUUAAAUUGAACAAGAUUUGCAUGAUUCACAUCUGUAUGUACAAAAUUUUUUGGUUUGCUUUAGGAGUUGUAGUUUACUUAAGCUCAGCUUAGUAAGACUAGUUAUAUAUGCUAUGCAUGUAAUCAAAACUUAGUGAAACCGAUAUCAGACUUCUGUAUUUUUAUGCUUGCUUUGUUAAUAUGCAAUAUCUCUAUCUAUAAGGUUGAUUCUUUUCAGAGACUCUCACAAAUUAGUGCCGGAAAUUAGAUAUUUCUGGUGCUGAAGAACAAUUUAUUAAACUGUUUGUGAUCAAUAUGGUCAUUGUUUGGUUCUUCUGGGGUGCAGUUUUUGCAUAGUAGGAAUAAAACAGUUAUCAUUGUUAUUUAGCUGUAGAGGUUGAUAAAUAUUUCUUUUUUCUUUCCAUGUAGAGGAAGUGUGACCUCAAGCAUCCCCCUGGUGAUGAGAUCUAUCGAAGUGGCACACUAUCUAUGUUUGAGGUAACCUUGGAUUUUCCCUCUCAGCCAAGUAGGUUCUUUAUUUUGUCCUUCAUGCAGCAGUUUCAGAUAUUUUAGUGGCCUAAAGUUCAUUGAGACAAAAUGCUCAGCUUGUGAGGUGUUCUUUGUUUUCCUUCAAGUAAAGAGAUUUUACAUACAGAUUUCUGCAAAAUCAGCUACUUACAUCUUUUUCUGAAAUAGAUUUGUGUAAGAAACAAAGUUUAAGGAGCUCAUGAACUUUCAGAUUUUGCAUGGGUGUAUACAUAAUUUGAAAUUUUUAUAGGGCGUAGAUGUCAAUAUUUCUUUUAGUACUCUUAUUUAAUAUAGCUUUGAGAUUUCUGCAUUUGCUAUUUUUAUUCUGUAUAUCUUUUCGUUUCUUUCUCCUGCAAUGUUAAUUUUCUUUUAGUUUUACUUCUACUGUGGUUUUGUGAUUUUAUUGUUAUUUGAUCAAAUACGUGUAACAGGUUGAUGGCAAGAAGAACAAGGUUUAUGGGCAGAACCUCUGCUAUUUGGCGAAGCUUUUUCUGGACCAUAAGACACUGUACUAUGAUGUUGAUUUGUUCUUGUUUUAUGUCCUUUGUGAAUGUGAUGAUCGAGGGUGCCACAUGGUUGGAUAUUUCUCGAAGGUAAUAAGUUUAAUUCUCCAUCCAUUAGAUAACUAGAAAAUGCUUGGAGCUGGCAAAAGCUGAAAAGAGCUAUUGUUUGCUACAUUGAGAAAUAGAUUUUCAAAAUUUAUUGUUUUUAAAUAUGUAGACCUUUUAGGUCUUGUAGAUCACAUCCAGUACUUCAAAUUUUCACUUAAGUCCUCAUUGAUUGGGUUUAGGAGACUACUCCUUGUCGGACCAGGCCCAGGCUACAAUUUCUCCAAACCUGAAACAACUCAAGACCCAGAUGAUCCUAAACCCAAGGAAACCAAACCUGAAGCAAUCUGUGCCCAAAUAACUUAAACCCGAAUUGACCCAAGGUUGAUCCAACCUAUCUGAUUACCACUCUAGAAAUGCUUUACCAUGAAUUUUAAGAUUGUCUUUCAUGAUAGGAUAUAGGGAAGCCACCAACUUAUUUGGCAUGCAUGUUAAAUUUCUUAAUUUGCUUUUGCUUCUGAUGCAGGAGAAACAUUCAGAGGAGUCCUAUAAUUUGGCAUGCAUUCUUACUCUUCCUCCAUAUCAGCGGAAAGGAUAUGGCAAAUUUCUGAUUGCAUUCUGUAAGCUUCAUUAUUUGGCUAUAUUUUCUUCUUCUUGGUUGUUGGUUGUCAAGUUUGUGUAUAACCUUUUUUAUGAGCCCAGCUAUGGUCCUUUUAUUAGGGCAUGAAUAAUGCAUAUUAUAGAGUUUUUAGCCCUUGGAUUAAAUAGUAUUCCAACCUACCCCCACUAAAUCUUAGGCACCCGAGAGCUAAAAAGUUAAUAGUAUGCACUAUUCACAUCCUCAUAAGAGGAUUGUAGUUUGACUUUUUUUUAUAUGAUUUUUGUCGCUUCCAUUUAUGUUGUUCUCUGCAUUUCGUAAAGGCAAUUUUCGUUUAGAUUAGACCCUACCAUUUUUUUUUUUUUUAAGACUUGGUGAAAUUUUGUUGUCUUUUUAGAACUCUGCUGAUGUUCCACAAGAAUAAUGCAUCUUACUCUAACCUUCCAAUUAGGUGUUUCCAAGUGACCUUUUUAUGUAAUUUUGCGAAAUCGUGUUGCUUUUCUUGGCUUUCUGAAAUCUGCAUGAGCAUUCGUUUAAUCAAGGAAAUCUAUUAGAGGCUAUAAACUAAUGCACCGAAGUGUGAUUUAUUAUAUAUAUAUAUUUAAAGGUAGUGCAUUCGUACAAUGCCAUCUUUCUUUUUGGCUUAUAAAUUAUUUACUAUUUUUGAGCAGCCUAUGAACUUUCGAAGAAGGAGGGUAAAGUGGGGACACCCGAGCGCCCACUUUCUGAUCUUGGUUUGUUAAGCUACCGAGGCUAUUGGACAAGAGUUCUUCUAGAAAUCCUGAAAAAGCACAAAAGCAACAUAUCCAUCAAGGUAAAUACUAUAUGCCACUUCUAUUCACUAUGUUGCCUCUCUCUCUCUCUCUCUCUCUCUCUCUCUCAGUACUUGGUUAGGCCUAGGGUGUGCUAAUUUAAUCUCUUGUUUUCGUCUUCUGGUGCAUCAUUACUCAUUGUAUACAUGUAAAGUUAAUGAUCCUACUGAGAAAAAAAAAAAUGUUCUUUCGAAAUUGUUGUGGCAAGUUAAUUUCCUAUACAACAGUAAUACCAGCAAUCUCGGCCUCAACUGUUAAACAUUAGCUUCAUUUCUUCACCACUAGGCUUAAUUGGGAGUAAUUUAGAUAUUAGAUAAAAAAUUUGAAUUAAAGCUGGCAAAUGUUUCACUGAUUUCUCUUCUUCCCAAAGGACUAUCAAUAAUACUUUGAAUAAAUUUUCAAGGAUCAAAAUUUCAAAGCUUUGAAAUGAACUGAGUGGCGUGAAGAAAUAUCUAUGAAUCUCUUCUUUGGAAUUAAACAGUAAAAGAGGAGGGUAAUACAUAUAGGUUGUUAUAUUUUGGGGCAACUAAUUUUUUAGUGGGUGAUCUGCAAUUUAACCACUUUUUAUCAACUUCAUUAUCUCCCUAUCUACACUGUCGUGUGACUUUUAAAAUGAAUUCCUAUUUGGGUAUAUCAAAAAUCUAAAUCAUUCAGAACUGUUUAACUUGUCUAAUUGUGAGUAAAUCUAGAUCCCGAACUUUCAUUUUCAUAUGCAGGAACUCAGUGAUAUGACCGCGAUAAAAGCGGACGACAUAUUAAGCACAUUGCAAAGUCUCGAUUUGAUACAAUACAGGAAGGGGCAGCACGUAAUCUGCGCCGAUCCGAAGGUCCUCGACCGCCAUUUAAAGGCUGCGGGCCGCGGAGGCCUCGAGGUCGACGUCAGCAAGCUGAUCUGGACUCCUUACAAAGAACAAAGCUAGUACUGUUCAAUCACUCGGAAUCUGAUGAACAAAUUUGUACCUAGUAGUGAAGGAGACGGGAAGUUUGUACAUAAAUAGAGAUUGUGCUUGUUGAAUGUAUUUUCGCAAUUUAGAUUAUUCGAUGGUUUUAAUUGCUAAUUUCGCCACGAAGUUGUUUGCGGAGUGGAAAUUUCAAAGGGUGGGUGGGGGGUGGGAAUCAGUUUUAACCCUCUUAUUACAUGUAGGUUGAUGCUGUAAUAUCUGUUUGUUCUUAUUUGAUCAAUUGGAGAUGUUACCAGGAAAUAGUUGUUUUGGUUUUUCUUUCCCCUCUCUCUUAACUGUACCCGGCAUUUUUUCUAGCUCCUUCAAAAAGCACAAUAUGGAAUGUUUGUAGCCAUCAAUGUGUUUUAUGCGAAAAUUUGCAUUUUUUAUUACAUAAUUUUGAUUUUCAUUCUGCUUGUAUGUCCGCAAGGCGCGAGUUCUAAAUUUAAGCUCAUACGCAAGCGCAAACUUUGAUCGCGCAGUUAGCAUGCGGGGCAUCUAACCGCUAAACUACUUAGCUUUUUAGUAAUAAAAAGAAAAAUUAGAAGAGAAAAGAAAGAUUAUUUUAAUUUUAUUUGGUUAAAAAUUCUAGAAGAGAAUGAAGGACAAAAUGGGAGAAAAAGGAGAGAAUAUUCAUUUCUCUUCUAAAAUUUAUAAUUUAUAUUCCUUUUGUUCCUUUUCCUUCACUCCUUUUCUUUUCUCGACUCUCCAGUUUGCUUCAUCCAAAAAAGUGCUUAUUUGGUUGGCCUCGAUUGUAGCUUGAUAAAAGUGAUAAUUUGAAUUGAGUUAUUUGAAUAAAUAAAUAAAAAAAAUCUUAAUAAUAUUUAGAAUUAACAUUUUCAUAAUAUAAUAUAAGUAAAAAACAAAUUUAAAUCAAUUGGGAUCCGUGGCGCAAUGGUAGCGCGUCUGACUCCAGAUCAGAAGGUUGCGUGUUCGAUUCACGUCGGGUUCAAGAAAUCCUGAAAAUUUCAAACGGAUUUAAAUUUUUUAAAAUUCUUUUCAAUUUACAAUUGUUUUUAAAUAUUUUUAUUUUACAAAUUUUUACAAAUUUUUAUAAGAUUUAUUUUCCGAACGUGUCGGAUUCAACCCACCCAGUGAAAAUUUUAUUUUGCGAACGGUGGAUCGGGUCGCGUCUCCGAACGGGUCGGAUUCAACCGAACCGAUUGUGUUCUCUUUACCUUGCGCUGUCUCCCUCGACUCUUUCCCCCGUUUCCCUCCUCCCAAUUUCCACCGUUCCCUACUGCAUCGUCUCCAACACACCAAAAUACUAAAACCCUAACCCUAGAGCUAGUUCCCAUCCGUGCUACUUUAUGCCAUUCUCUUGAUCUCUUUGCUUCGCAGUAGCCAUCCAUGGACGCUAUCUCGUCGCUUAUCCCCGCUGGUAAAUCCCCCCCUCUCUCUCUCGAUUUUUUGUUUUCCUUGAGUUUUCUGGGUAAAAUGUGAACUCCGCUAUCAAUUACAGUAUUUAUCGUGCAAUUUUUUGGUGAAUAUUUGCUUUUUUUCGGUAGUUAUUUAAUGAUCUUUUCUUUUUUCGCACUAUUGAAACAAAUUUAGUUGCCUUGGGGGGGAAAAAAGAAAAAAAAAAAACCAUACCUUUUAGGGCUCAAUAGCUUCUAUAAAACUUUGUCCUUUUGAUGCUUUCUCAUUUAUGAUAGUUUUAUGCUUCUUUUUUUUUUCUCAAAUUUUAUUGACACUAACUUAGUUGCACUGGAAGGAAAAAAAAAAAAGAAGCUUAAUAGCUACUAUGAAGUUAAAUUAUUUGAUCCUAGCUACUUUGAUUUUUUUUUUUUUUUUGCUAAUAUUUCUGUGAAUAUUUGUCUUUUUUUUUAAUGAUAUAUUUGUUUUUUUCAUUCUAUUGACACAAAUUUACUUGCAUUGGAGAAAAAAAAACAAAUUUUUAGUGCUUAAGAGCUUCUCUGAAGUUAUAUUUGAUCCUAAAUUGCUAAUUUAAUUAAUCUCUUCGCAAACAGGUCGAGAAAUGGUUCACCUCCAAAACAAAAAGGGACAUCUCUAAUUUGCGGAUCUGAGUUUGUUCCACAUUAGCUUAUUCCGAGUCCUAUAGGUCCUCUCUUAAAUGGAUAUAGAAGCUUCUUUGCCCAGUUUGCAUUCUCCGAGCUAUUAUACAGAGCCUUCUCUCGAUGAACUGGCUAAAAUAGAAGCUAUCGAUUCUGGUUACUGCAGUAGAGUUCCCAAUUUCGUCGUCGGGAAAGUGGGUUAUGGGUGCGUUAAAUUUCUCAGCAAUACCGACAUUAGGUGGAUAAAUUUGGAUAAAAUUGUAAAGUUUGAUCAUAAUUCCGUGACGGUUUACGUCGACGAAGCUGAUAAGCCCCCUGUAGGUCAUGGUCUUAAUAAGGCUGCUGAAGUAACACUUAUCCUUCGUUUAAGAUCGAAAAGUUCGGAUUAUUUGGAGAGUAAUAGGUUGCUAAACAAGUUGGGGAGGAUCUGCUUGAAACAAGGUGCUAAAUUUGUUUCAUUUGAACCAUCUAACGGGGAGUGGAAAUUUAUGGUCGAACAUUUUAGUCGCUUUGGAUUGGACGACGAUGAAGAAGAGGAUGUUGUGAUGGACGAUGCGGCAGUUCAGCCGAGUUCUGAGGUCAAAGAUAGUCAAUUAAGUUCUAAUGGGCUUGAGCUGUCCCGUUCGCUACCAGCCCAUCUAGGCCUCGAUCCGGCAAAAGUGCAAGAAAUGAGGAUGUUGCUGUUUCCUGGCGAGGAUGACAAUGAUGAUGAUACAGAACAGAACCUUUUCCCUGAUAAAAGAUUCACUAGUAGGGAAGCUAUGAAAGUGGAUUCGCCGAUUACAAGAAAGUUCCACAAUAAAGCUACUCCAAUUCCAAAGAGAGCACCACAAGCUUUAUUGGAAUACCAUACAAGCAGUUCCGAAUUAAGCCCAUUGAAUAAUAUUCUUCUGUCUGGACAAAGCAAGGGAUUAGCUGCAAAAAGGGCUAAGAUUGAAGGUUUUAAAUUGGAGGGGAAAUACUCAUCUCCUGUUGGUGUAAAAUACUCUAAUUGCGUUGUCGAUGCUGCAUUAUUUAUGGGUAGAUCAUUUCGUGUAGGGUGGGGCCCGAAUGGUGUUCUUGUUCACUCUGGUAGCCCAGUGCGAAACCCUAACAGCGGUUUAUCUUCUAUUGUUAAUGUAGAAAAAGUUGCAGUUGAUCGAGCUGUGAGAGAUGAAAAGAAUAAAUUCAGAGAAGAUCUCGUUGAUUUGUGUUUCUCUUCUCCCUUGUUUCUCCACAAAUCACUUGACCGGGAAUAUAAUGAAAUUGAAGCUGAUUCCUUUGGGCUAAAGCUUCAAAAGGUUGUAACAAAUCGUUCUAUGUUAUUGGAGAUUUGCAGGGCUUAUAUAGAGAUUAUUGAAAAACAGCUUGAAGUUGAUGAAUUGUCCACUUCUUAUCGGGUACUGUUGAUGCAUCAAGUCACGGUUUGGGAACUCAUUAAGGUUUUGUUCUCAGAGAGAGGCAGAAAUGGAAAUGGACCGUUAAAUAUCACAUACAAUGAAGAUGGGGAGGAUAUGAUGUUGGAUAAGAAAGAUAGCUCUUCUGAUAUAGAUUUUGAAUCAUACCCACUUGUUCGAAGAGCUGAUUUCAGUUAUUGGUUACAAGAGAGUGUUUGCCAUAAAAUACAGGGAGACAUUAGUUGCCUAAAUGAGUCAAAUUACUUGGAGAAUAUUCUUCUACUUUUAACAGGACGGCAGUUGGAUGAAGCUGUGGAAAUGGCUUCUUCAAAAGGAGAUGUUAGGCUCGCUAUCUUGCUAAGUCAAGCUGGCGGAUCAAUGAUCAAUCGUGCUGAUGUGGCACAGCAACUAGAUUUAUGGAGAACUAACGGGCUCGACUUUAGUUUCAUUGAGAAAGAAAGGUUGAAGUUGUAUGAAUUGCUAGCCGGUAAUAUUCAAAUUGCUGCUCAAGAUCAUUCUAUUGAUUGGAAAAGAUAUUUGGGUUUGUUAAUGUGGUACCACUUGCCGCCCGAUACAUCAUUAAGUGUUAUUAUUCAUACUUACCAACAACUAGUUAGUGAAAGAAAGGUUCCAUAUCCAGUUCCUGUUUAUAUCGAUGAAGGACCUCUUGAUGAAGCACCGGAGUGGAAUUCAGGUGAUCGGUUCGAUAUAUUGUAUUAUCUUAUGCUUCUUCAUGCUAAUGGUGAGGAGAAUUCGUCUUCUAGUCUACUCAAAACCUUGUUUAGUGCUUAUUCGUCUUCUUAUGAUCCACUUGACUACCACAUGAUUUGGCACCAACGUUCGAUUUUGGAAGCUAUUGGUGCGUUUAGUUCAAGCGAUCUUCAUGUGCUUGAUAUGAGCUUUGUAUAUCAAUUACUUUGUGUUGGACAGUGCCACUGGGCCAUUUAUGUUGUACUUCAUAUGCCGUAUCUCGAGGAUUUUCCAUGUAUUCAAGCAAAUAUAAUAAAGGAAAUAUUGCUACAGUACUGUGAGUCAUGGAGCAGGGAAGAGAAACAGCGGCAGUUUAUUGAGGAACUUGGUGUACCAACAGCGUGGAUGCAUGAGGCUUUGGUAGGUGUCGCUCUCUGAAAUUUUGAUUUGGAGAUAUUUGCAUAGAUGACCUUGCAAAGUCCUCAAUUUACAUAUUUAUUUUUCUGAAAUCUGAGUUCUCACAUAUGCCGUUCAAAAACUUAAUAUCUUAUAUAUAUACACCCAUUCACAUACAAAAUGAUCCUCUUCAAAUCCUUCUUCAGUUCUUCUAAUGCAACCAACUCAACAUCCCUUCCUCUUUGCGCCUGCUAAUUGAAUGACUCACCAAUUUCAGCUUUCAAAUAAAGUUGUUUUUGCAAAGAAUUUUCAAACUUGCAUAUGAAAUUUCAAAAUUUCUUGGAAAUAUAUGUAAAUAAAUGAUUUUGCAGGAAUGUUCUGUAUGGCUUUAUAGCUAGCUGAUAAUUUGAAAGUUUUGCAGAUGUUGUAUCUUUCAGUUCCAGUGUCUUGCCAUUGAUGGUUGAUAGUAAUAAAUAUUUAUUGCAGGCUAUAUAUUUUCAGUACUAUGGUGAUCAGUCAAAAGCACUUGAGCAUUUCAUUGAAAGCGCUAACUGGCAAAAAGCUCACUCAAUUUUCGUGACAUCUGCAGCUCCGCCUCUGUUUUUGGCAUGUACGUACAUAUUGUUCUAUUGGUUAAAAUUACUUUCACUUGGUUGCAUCUAUAUGUUGCGCUUACAUUUGAUUUUUAGAAAAUGAAUUGUAUCAGGAGUUUAGUGUGUAGAUAUUCUAUUUUUCAAUAGACAAAUGGUAUUGCUAUGCAUUUAGCCGUCUUCUCAGAUGGCCUAUGAGUGAAAUUAAUGAUUAAUUCACAAAAUGGAGUGGUUUAUAGUCAAUUAGCACCAAAUUGUGAUGUUACUUUUCAUCCAGUAGACGGCAAAUACUUAGGUGUGAGGGAGACAGGACGCAGAAAAGAGGAUCUAAUCCAACUUAUCAUCCAGUAGAUGGCAAAUACUUAGGCGUGAGAGACAGGACGCACAAAAGAGGAUCAAAUGAAUUAGAUCCUAUUUCUCUUUCAAUUGUGUAAUGAAGUUUUAUAGUCCACAAAUAACCGAUCGAUGAUAAUUUUAUCCCUAAUACUUCUUCUUUCUUAAUUUAUUAUGGUUGAAUUUAUAAAAUAUGCAUAAAUCUCCAGAGGAAAUGUAACUUACUAGCCUUUUUUAAAACAUCCACUCAGUAAAACAUUCAGAGAUAUGGCGGAUAACAAGUUCCAUGGAAGAGCACAAGUCGGAAAUUGCUGAUUGGGACGUGGGUGCGGGCAUUUAUAUUGAUUUUUACAUAUUAAGAAGCUCCUUCCAAGAAGAAAAUGCCAUGAGCGACUUGGUAAGAACUACAUCUACAGUAUGUUUUGCAUAAUUUGACAAAAAUAUAUUUGCGCAUGCAUCUCGGCAAAAUUUUGAUGUUUCAUAUGUGCCUCUCAAGACUUGAUAUAUUACUGUUUACUUAAGGAGAUGCCUAUCACUGAAGAGAUUUUUGUAAUACAUAAACAACUUCACCCACCAAUUCGAUGACUCACCAACUGAAGAAACAGAUAUGUUUUUAGAAUUUGUAUUCAAAAGGGUUAUAUAUUAUCCAAAAUCCAAUUUGAAGGAAUAUAUACGAAAUGUACAGGAUUUAACAGCCCUUCGGAAGAAUUAGCGAACUUAUAUAUUCUUUUUCUCUUCUGCAUGAUUUGACUUUCUUUUUACUAAAAACAUUGUUUUUCCCUUCCAGGGCAAGCUGGAGAGUAAAAAUGAAGUGUGUAAGAAUUUCUUCAGUCGCUUGAAUGAUUCGUUACUGGUCUGGGGAAGCAGAUUAACUGUUGAAGCAAGGUAGAAGCGUUUCAUUUUUUAAGUUCUGCAAUAUAUAAAAUCUUGAUAAUAUACUAAUAAGUAUUCUAUCACUUUAAACUGUUUGUGUAAGUUUUACCUGAGCUGACAUGAAAAAUGCGGGCUGUUCUAGUUCCUCAUAUCCAGUUAGUUUUCUAUGGCCUGACUAGAACUUUUACAGAAGAAUUGUUUGAAAGAGCACUCUUUCGCUACAAGCAAGUUUUUCAGCGCUACGCACUUAGAUACCAACUGUGUUCCGGUAUUUGCUCAUUUUUGUGCAUUCACAGGGUUUUGUAUGUGUGAAACACGCAGUGUCUUCUUUCCUAGACGAGUCUAACUUUGAUCCAUUGUCAACAGGGCAGCAUACUCGAAGAUGGCGGAGGAGCUCUGCGCACUCCUGAUGUCCACUUCGGGGGAGAAGUCAACUCCCGAAGUACAGAUGAGCUCCUUCGACACGAUGCUCACCGCCCCGAUUCCCGAAGAACACCGCGCCGGAUACCUACAAGAAGCCGUAUCGGUUUUCACUUACCUGCUCACGGAGCCAGCGUCCUAGAUCGAAAAUUCUCCCCUUCUUCUGGUCACCCAUUUGUAAUCCUAUUCUCUGUUUGCUGUAGCAGUGGAAUUUUUCACACCUUUUCGGAUGUCCACCUCUGUAAGGGAUUUUUCUUGUGUCUGCGUAGCAGGUGCGAAAUUUGCGAUUUUGUGUUUACGUAGUAAGAGUUUGAAUCUUCAUCAUUCUGAAUUUGUUUCUACGAUUCAAAUUGUUGAGGUUUGGGUUCUCUACAGAGUCAUGUAGUAAGAAUUAGAAUCUUCUUCUUUUUUGUGAAUUUGUAUCUACGAUUCAAAUUAUUUAGGUUAGGGGUUUCUGCAGUUCAUCAUAGAGAGACCAUCCCUAUUUCUGACCCCUAUUUCCAACCCCAUAAAGAUGUCGGAUCAAGUUAUUCUUCAAUAACUCGUAUAAAAUGGGGAUUUUCUGAUCUUUGGUUUUUGUUCAUAUUCUAGUAACUGCUUUCCAGAAGUCAAUUUUUUUUUUUAAAGAGUGUAAUCUUUGUAUCAAGUAUCAGAUAAGUUUUUACAAAAUUUAAUAAGUGAUCGAAUUUAUUCCUUCGAAAAUUUUAUGAUUUGUAAAGAGCCCAUGUCAGGCCGGCCCGACCUGGCAUCAUAGGCCGUGCUAGGCCACUCUAACUGAGCCCGUCGGUCCGACACAGGCCUGGGCCGUGGUGCCGAUGGUUUGGCCUGCGGCACGGCACGGCACGGCACGUCGGCACGGCAUUGCCCGCAUAGGGAGGGGAAAUUUAAACUUAAAACUUCUAAUUUCAAUUAUCAUAUUUUGAUUUUUAAUUUUUGGAUUUCAAUUUUUAAAUUUUAACUUUUAAAUUUUUAAAUUUAAAUUUAAAAUUAGAACAUCUAAUUUUAAAUUUUUAAUUUCAAGUUUAAAUUUAAAAUUUUAAUUUUUAAAAUUUAAUUUCAAAUUUAAAUUUAAAAUAUCAAAUUAAAAUUUUAAAUUUAUAUUUUAUAUUUUAUAUUUCAAAUUUUAAAUUAUAAAUUUUAUAUUUCAAAUUUUAAAUUUAAAAAUUUAAAAAUUUGUUUUAAAAUUUUGAAUUUUAAAUUUUUAAAAUUUUGUUUUUAACUUUGAAUUUUGAAUUUUGAAUUUUGAAUUUUAAAAUUUUAGGAUUUUAGUUGUUAUAAAUUCUAUGGAAUUGGACGAUAUGUAUUCAAACAGCUUAGAAAUAAAGUUGUGGAAUAUUUUUUGUAGUUAUAGAAUUUCGUAUUUUAUUUUCACCAAAACUAAAGAAUAAAAAUUUCAUGAAAUUUUUUAACUAUGCAUCUAAAUAGAGCCUCAAUAGUAUCCUCAAGCUAUGGAUAAUUCCAUGUAUAUUUUUGUAUACAUGGAGAAUUUCACUCUAGAUAAGAAGAGAAGUGGAUAAGGGGAAUUUGAGAUUUGAAAACUAGUUAAAAAAAAGGUUUAGGGCUGUUUAGAUGUAAUUAGAUUUAAAAAAGAUUAAACAAUUUAAUGUUAAACAUAAAAUAACUAAAUUCAGAUUAAUAAAAUUGCAUUCUGAUUUUAUGUGAGUUAUUAAUAAAUUAAUUAAUCACAAGUUUUUGUAGAAAAUAUUACAAUAUAUUAGUAGUUAUAUAAAAAUGUUAUCCUCUCUGUCUCUCUCUCUUUCUUUUUAGUUAAUUAAAGUUUUCUUUUUUAAUCUAUUAACUUUUUUAGAAAUUGCUAUAUACGUGUAAUGUCAUAUAGGAUAACUAUUAGCCAAAAAUUCACAAUUGGAUUUUAUUUUAGUUUUUUAGUUUUUAUUUUUAUUGUUUGGCGGGGGUGGGGUGCUUUUUGGAUCGGAUUUAAAUCCGAAUCAAUUAAACCACUGCUUAUUGGGCCCCAAAUGUUUAACUUCCAAGUCCAUUUAUUAGUGGUUGUACUCACAUUGAGAUGGUAUAAAAAAAUGCAAGAUGUAGAGAGGGGUUUUAGUGGGAAAGUGAAAUAUAUAUAGAAGGAGAAUAAUGUAAAAAAUUUGGGGUCUACUUUUGAAACAGCAUCUCUAUCAGUAAGUAAGACUUAGAUGUUAUCUCUAACUUAACUAUACUAGAUGGUACAAAAAUGGUUAAAAUGAGAUUCUAAUGGUGAAAAUGAGAUUCUAAGGAUAAAAAAUAGUAACGAUACUGCUUCAGCGUCUAUUACAAAAAGAAUCAUAUGGAAAAAUAAUGACCGAAUUGAACUUUGAGAGAAACUUUCAAACUUUCAAAACUGUGCUUUUCUUUUUCUUAAACUCGUCAUGUGUUUUAGCAGAUUGCAGCUAAAGUUAGGUGUGAACUAUGGUUGAAUUUUUUCUUAUAAUUGAUUUAGUAAUCUUUCUUUUGAAUAACAUAUAUCGUCUAUCAGUGUUGGUGCCAUCGGAGAGAGAAACAAAAAAAACUCUUGAUUUUGGAUAGCAAAUGUUUGGAGUUUAAUCUUUCGAUGGUUAAAUUUGAUGGCAAACACUAAAUAUUCCAAGAACAUGUUUGUUCACAAAGAAAUUUAUUGCAAAAAUCAAAAUAAUGCCUUGAGCAUAUUUGUGUUAUUUAGCAUUAUACGUCUGUUAGGUGAGCGUAGAAAUGUUUUUAUAGAGUUGGCAAAGAGUACAGUGUAAAUAGUAAAUAUUUCGAAAUUCAUACUAUAUUCUGAUAACAUUUUAUGAAAAAAUACUCUGUCGGAUAUCUAGAUCAAAAAUACUUGUUCGGUCUUACUUGCGGUUCUAUUUUCAGCUUACUCGUCUGGGUUAUAAUCAUACGGAGCUCAAACAAAUAACAUUUUAAUUAUAAGAAUAUAUAUUUUUAAGAUAAAUUUUCUUUUUAUACCAUAAAGAAAGAUAAAAUUAUUAAUACAGUGCUUCUCAUAAUGAUACAAAAAGCAUUUUACAACAUAACACCUAUGCACUACGAAAUUACAAGACCCGAAUGUACUUACUAAUUAAACGGGUCGGGUUUCACGCCAAAAAUCCCAACCCGUUAAUCCAAACGGGUUGAUGGAUUAAAACUAAAAAAAUAUAACUAAUAAAAAUAAUAAAAAUCGCGCCUAAAUUAGAAUUUCUUUUUCUCAAUAUCGAGCUUAAAAUUCCCAUAAUAUUCUACGUAUUUACGAUCUUUAUCAACGCGAAAAAUCUAAGAGAAUAUGAUUUAUAGAAAAAUAAAAAAAAUCCAUACUUCGUUGACGUUGAUCCAUAAUUUGUUGAGAGCGCAAGAUUCGCCUCGCUUAUCGACCCAAUUCGUUUACUAUAAAUUUGUGGGCUCCAUAUUUAAAGUACGUACGUUCUUCUUCAUUCUCAACGCACCUCACUUCAUGAGGUAACACAAUUGCUAUAUUUUAUUAUUUAUUCACCACCUUACUUCCCAUAUAUAUAUAUAUAUAUAUAUUUGCGUUUCUCAGAUUUAAUGUUUUUCAUUGUUUUGUUUUUGUGGGGGCUUUUUCUUGUAAAUAUUGUUGAUCUUAUAGUGCACUAUACGUUUCUUUCUAGACAAAUUCUAUCAUUAAUUAGAACUUUUUAGCAAAAAAAGAUCGUCGCUGACAACGUCGUAAUCGGUGUUGGCGGCGGCAGCGGCAGCAUCGUCGGCGGUGCCGAUGGCGGAGGUGCCGGCACUGACAAUUCAUUACCGUCAUCCUUAUUAGGGGGAGGAGGGACAGUCUUUUUUUUCUUUAAGAAAGCGACGAAUGGAGAUAAUUUUUUAGAGAAAUUGUCUAUAUCUCUCUUUUGUUUAUAACCUUGUAGUGUAUAUAUUUAGGGCGUGUUUUGUUUAUAAUCGUGUAGCCUAUACACGUUUCGUGUAGGGAUGUAUGGAUAUCCGCCGGAUCCGAACCCGAACGAGGUGGGUUUAUCCGAGCUAUUAUUUGUUUUAAUAUUGUAUUUGAUUGUGUUUUGAAAUUUUUAUUUUGAAAUUUUUGAUUUUACUAUAAUAUAUUUUGAAAUAUGCUAAAGAAAAAUCAUUAUUUCGGGUUCUUGGUGAAUAUGGGUAUAAAUUUUUAAAACCCGCCGGAUUCGGAUUUGGAUUCGAAUUUUAAUUUGAUUUUCGGUUUCGGAUUUAAGUUUUUGAAAACCCGACUCAAACCAGGCCCGUGACAUCCCUACUCGUCCAUCAGUCACUGAAUUGUUCAGCAUUAUUAAUUUCAGAGUAAAACUGAUUAAAUUUGAUAUUUUUUUUCUUUUUUUUCUUUUAUUCGUAAGACACGGUCACACGGGAGCUAAUGCAGCUUUACUUGCGAACAGUUGUCAACAAUAUCAAAGGGUGGAUCAGCCCACGCCGCAACCUUCAUUUCUACCAUCAUCAUUCAACACCAUUCGCAGAAUACCGAAUGAAGUUUGUAAUGGCAACUCGAACUGUAAGUGGAUAUUGGAUACAUCACAUCCUUCGUCAUCGUCGCCACGCGAUGCCAUUCAUCUGUUUUCAAGUGCAAAUGACGGCGAGUGCAGUUUCGGCCGCACAGCAAUCGACCAGCCGUUGCCUGAGCUCACAAAGCAAGUGGUCAAAGACAGCUUCGAGAGCUUGAUGCACUGCAUGAACAGCGAGAUUGCGCGUCAUGUUGAAAGCAAGGAGGAUCAAACUGUCAUGCUGGAUGAAGAGUUGCAGCAGCAGCAGCAGCAGUUAUUACAGCAAAAUCAGAAUCUUAGUUUUAGUACAACCUCACAGAUAAUGCUGGAUGAAGAGUUGUUGCAGCAGCAGCAGCAGCAGCAGUUGUUACAGCAAAAUCAGAAUCUUAGUUUUAGUACAACCUCACAGAUAAUGCUGGAUGAAGAGUUGUUGCAGCAGCAGCAGCAGCAGCAACAGCAGCAGUUGUUACAGAAAAAUCAGAAUCUUAGUUUUAGCACAACCUCACAGAUAAUGCCAGAUGAAGUGUUGUUGCUGCAGCAGCAGCAGCAGCAGCAGCAGCAGCAAUUGUUACAGAAAAUGCCAGUUUUUAGUACAACACCGAUAACCACGGCCCAGGCCCUACUCAUGAGGCUAAACGAGACCUCGCGGGUGAGCAUUCCAUUCGUCCCGACGGCUAACGCGCAAAAGAGAGCACUAAAUUCCCCUAUGAAUAUUGACGAGAUUGCCGAGAAGAGGCUGAGAAGGAUGUUAAAGAAUCGGGAGUCGGCCGCGCGAUCGAGAGCAAGAAAACAGGUAAAUUUCAUCAACAAAAGUUAAACUUGUUUCAAAUUUUCUCUUUUUGGUCUCUCUUUUUUUUUUUUUCUUUUUUUUCUUUUUUUUUCUUUUCCUUAUUCUUGUUUAAGGCAUGCAGGCCUAUAUUAGUCACCUGGAAAGGCAGUUGAAAGGGAAAGAAAGGCAAAUAGAAGAGUUGGAAGGCAAGGUGAAAGCAUUGGAGUGCACGAAUGAUGAGCUCAGAAAAGCGCUGGACGCUUCUCCAAAGGUAACAUACCCAAAAUAUUUUAGAUGCUACACUCCUCUAAUUUUGUUUUGUUUUGUUUCUUCUUUUUGAUCCUCGCAUUUUGCGGUGAAUUGUUAUGCUAUGGAGAGUUUCUAUCAUAAUCAAACUUUUUGCUACUGAGAUUGAUGGAUUUGUGCGAAUCUUCGACGCUUUUGUUUCCUCCAUGGCUCAAUUUAAUCUGCAAGAAAUUGAAGAUUCAGUGCACAGCGGUGCGGGGGUGGUUGGCGGUAGGGGUGGCAAUCCAGUUCGCUAUUCGCGAGCCAGCUUGUGUUCGCUUGGAAAUGAGCUCGAGUUCGAAUUGUUCACUUAGUAAACGAAUCGAACAUAAGUUGAAUUUUUCAGCUCAUUUGAUAAAUGAGUCUAACAUGAGCUGANUCAGCUCGUUUAAUAAACGAGCCGAACAUGAGCUAGAAUCAGCUCGCUCGUGUUCGGCUCGAUAACAGCUCGAUUAUAUUUAUUUUAUAUUAAUAUAAUUUUUAUAUAUAUUAUAUAUAUUAAAUAUAAAAUACAGAUUAUUAAUUUUAAAUUUUUUAGCCCAACUUUAAAAAAAAAAGUUCAGCUUAUUUAUAAAAAAAAAAGGCCCAUAGCCCAUUUAUAUACAGAAUGUCUCCUUUUUCACUCAUGGCCCAGGCCCAUGAAAUAAAUUUUACUCUUUCUAUUCCUAAUCCCUCGUCACGCUCUCCUCUCACGCCUCGCCGCCUCGCCCUCUUCAUUCGCACCUCCGCCUCUCCCAAUCCUCUUCUCCCUCCCCCGUUUCUUCCCCCCAUCCUCUUCUUCUCCUACCCAUUGUCGCAUCGCCUUCCCCUAUCAAUGGUAUGGGUACCCGAAAUUUUAUUCGAAUCCGAAUCCGAAUCCGAAUGAAACGGAUAUAUUCGAUGCUAAAUAGACAUAGAUUAGAAUAUGAAUAUCAAAAAUAAAAACUCGAUAGAUAUGAAUUCAGAUAUGGAUUUUUAAAAUCCGUCGGGUUCGGAUUCGGGUCUCGGGUUUGGAGUCGGGUUUGGUUCGGGUUUUUGAAAAUCCGCCUCGAAUCCGACCCGUUGACAUCUUUAGAAUUUAGAGAUUUUUUUAAAUUCAAUUUAUUUUUUUAUUAUAAAAAUUUAAAAUGUAUAAUUAUUUAUGCCUACUAUAUGUAUUAAAUAUAAAUUUUAAUUUUAUGAUCACUUAGAUGUAAAUAGUGCAAUAAAAAAUAAAAAAAUAAUAGAGUUUAAUUUAAUUUUUAUUUUAAUAAAUUUAAUUACAAAAAUUUUAUAAACUAUAUUAAUUGCAUAUUGGGUCCCAAUCUUUCCACUCUUUUUUAUUUUGUUUCCUAAUCCCUAAACUUUGUAUGUUUUUCGCUUUAGUUCCCAAACAAUUUUUUAAGAAUUAAUGUAUAUAAUAAUAUAACUACUGAUUUCUUCGCUAAUUUAAAAUUUAGAAAUCAAAUACUUUGUUAGUUGUAUAUGUAACAAUAAAAGUUAAUAAGGGCACAAUGAAGAUGUUGCCGCUAAGAAUACUAAAGACAGUACUUUCACUCCACUAAAUUUUUUUUUUUUUUUUUUUUGUAAAUUCUAUCUUAGAUGAUAAUAAAAAAAUAUUAUUUAUCUUUCUUAAUACUGUAAUGAGCUGUCGUUUUUUUAAAAUUAAUUUAUUUAUUUUACUAUUAGAUUUAAAUAUUUUUAGAAAGAAAUAUAAUUUAACUUCAUUCUUUAAUUUAUUUUUUAAUUCUUAAUUAUUCAAUAUGAAGAUAAAUAAUAUUUAAAAAUAUUAAUGUAUAAUAGAAAAAAAAAUGGUUUUAAUAGUUCUAAUAAGUUACUAUUGUAUUGGUUUCCCGCCGCAUCGCGCGAGCCCUUUAACUAGUCUAAAUGAAAGCGAGAUAAUUGAUCAAAUCUCUACUAAAAUGAGUUAAUGUUUGAUGCUUGAUGAGGUGCUCUAGAUUUUACUGUACAAUUUGCGGAGACGUAAAACAGUUUUUUUUUGGUAAACAUGAUUUAUGGUGCUUUUUGCAUGUUUUCUAGCAAUUUUCCUAAAAAUACUUUGUAAUUUUGGAUGCAUGUUUUCUUUUUUUUUUUUAUUUCAUUUACAAAUUAGUCCAUGAUCAUACUUGUCCUUUGGAUUCGGUACAAAACGGUAACUUAAACAUGAUAGUUUUGCACUCUCCUGAAGAACUUUCAACUGAGAUUAUCACAGUUGCAGUCCAUAUGGGCACUCAAAAAUGACACUGGAAAAGUUAUGGAAGGUGAGGAUCAACUAGGAACUAGUCUGUUUAAUUGGGAAAAUUCAGGGAUCAAAUUGCAAAUUUGUUGUAAAUUCUUUUUCAGAAAUUAUCUAAGCACAUAUUACUUCAUUGUGAUCAAACAAAAUUUGUGGCACAAAAUUGAAAUUUUAAUUACUUUGGAACUUUUUUUUUUUUUUUUGUGUGUGUGUAUAGGAUAUGCUAAUGGAUUCAGCUGACCCUUGGGCGACCGAUGAACGCAGUUGCAUAUCUUGGUCGACUUAGAAGCAUCAGCAAUAAUUUAUUUGUUUUUCAGAGGCAAAAUUUUUUACAGAAUAAGUUGCACAGCUUGCGACAAUUUUGACCGGCCAAUGUUUAUUCUUUAAUUCUUUAAUUAAGUUAUAUUCUUUAAUUCUUUUUCCUCCGCACAGAUUUUGCAGAAUUAGAGCAGGAUGCAAUCUUCAGAUUUUAGUUUGUUUGUUUUUUUUUUUUUCCAGUUUUUGAAGCCCUGGAAAUUAGAGUAGAUAAAUAUAAAGAGCACGGCUGCUAUGAUAGCACUGCUCCGAAGUUUUAGCUAUUUAUUAAAAUUGAUGGAUGAUUAUGAAUAUUCUGUUUCUUUUUUACUAUCUUUUUUUUUUUUUUUGAAUUUCUCUCGAAUUUUUCUUUUCUUUCUUACCAUUUCCACCACCAUCACACACACGCACACACCGAUAUAUAUAUAUAUAUAUAUAUAUAUAUAUAUAUAUAUAUAUAUAUAUAUAUAUAUAUAUAUAUAUAUAUAUAUAUAUAUAUAUAUAUAUAUAUAUAUAUAUAUAUAUAUUAACCCUAUAUGAAUUCUCAAUAUUUUUGCCACAUGACAAGUUUUUUUCACUCUUACUAGCCCUUUUUAUGAACUGAUCUUUGCUCUUGACUUUUUCCCCUCCCCUCCUCUCUAUUAAAUAAUCUGUAAUCAAUGUGCUCUUUAAUUUAUACAUCCCUGAUUUUUUUCUCUUCAAUAUUAGUCCUUUCUUCUCCCCAAACAAUUUCUGACCUACAAAAUUAAAAGAGAAGAAGAUGAAUAGUUACUACUUUCAGAUCUAAAGAUUAGGGUAGAGAGCAAGGAAGUCCUACAAGCCCUAAUCCGUACCAACCCGACUCGACCCGACCGUCGUUGAUCAAGAGAGUGCUUCUAGGGUUUCUAUCCAUGUCGAUCUCUUCAGAUUUAUGUGAAAAGAAGGUAAUCGAGAAGCUAAUGGGACAGUGAUAAUGUACGGAUUAAAGGGUACGUUUGGAAACGAAAACCCUAAACCUAAUUUUUCUUUUCUUUAUUUUAAUCUCGAAUUCUUACAAUGUAUCUAUUUAGGAUUUAAUUUAUUUGCAUUAUUUUUUAUAUGGUGGUUGUAUCAAUCAACGAUUUGAUUUACGUGCAUUAUUUUGAUUAAUUUAGAGGUUAGUUUUGAUUUCAUAAUUGAUGUAGUAGUUUUGGCCCGUAACUUUUGACUAUCCUAUGUCCAAAAGGGUGCAAAACCUUGCAAACUUCCAUAAAAUUAUCACCGCCAUCGUCGUCAUCAUAGCAACAUUAUCAUCUACAUCUUCAUACGACCUUUGCAGGUUUUCUUUUUGAAUAGUGAUUCUGAGCAGUUAUCUGUUUUGAAUGGUCAUAUUGAUUAGUUCAAUUCAUACAUUUCAGUAAAAAAAAAAAAUACACUUGAAUUUUUAUUUUCCAAAAUCCUUUCAACUUCCUCUUCAAUAUUUUCUGUAUUUUCUUUUAUUAUCUAUUCGCAACAUCGUGCGGAUUACUACACUAGUGUAUAUAUAUAUAUAUAUAUAUAUAUAUAUAUAUAUAUAUAUAUAUAUAUAUAUAUAUAUAUAUCAAAAUUGUUACACAAGAACUUAGUAAUUGUCUGCCGCGAACGAAUCGGCCCCGCCGUAGAUAUUUCUAAGACGAGUGGUCAUUCAUAGUAUAGAUUAAAUUUACUUAAGUUUUAUUUUAAAUCAGGAUUAUAGGUUCAUGGCUUCCAACAAACUCAAAAAUCUGUCGUUAAUUACCCCACACUUUCACUGUUAAGGAACCCUCGAUUAAGAGACCGAAUACAAAUACUGAUAAUAANGCGAGCUUGGCUGGUAUACUAUCGGUAGCACGGAGUCCUCCAUGCUACUAAGUUGUUUUCAAUGACGCGGCUUCCAAAUCGACGAUCAGCUCCAUUGGACUUUGAUCUACACUAUUAAAAGUAUUUGUAAACUAAAUUUCAUAAUUUUUCGACAUCAUUUAACAGCCUAGCUCUCGCUCUCCCUAUUAGUUGAGUGUACGUGCAAAUGCACGCAAUAAUUAUUUUAAUAGUUAUCUCAAAUUAACAUAAAUUUUUAGAUCAUAUUUAUUCAAAAGUUUAAACAAACAAUACAAAAAUUAAAAUUUUAAAAAGUAAAUUUAUCUUUUAUAUUUUAGUAGAAAAUAAUUGCAAUAUUCGAACUCAAAUAUAAAUAGUUAUUGUCAACAAUAAGUAUGUAGUUCUAUAAAAUUUGAGUUUAAAUUGUGAAUUAAAUUCAAUUUUGGAUAUCAAAUUUGAAUUGACAAUUAACAAUUUUUAAUUAAAAUGGAUCAAAUAAAAUUUUAAAAUUUGAAUUAAAUGUAAAUUAAAAUUUUGAUAUUUCUAGUGUGGGACGCGUGAUGAAGAAUAUGCUAUAGUAGAUGUCCUCCGAUGGGUAGAAAUUUGGAUAAAUAUGAAUUUUUUUCUAUUUACUCAAAUAGAUUGUAAUAUUUUUUUCACUAAAUAAUAUUUGUCAAUAAUUAUUUUAAAGUUAUCUCAAAUCAACAUAAAUUUAUACAUCAUAUUUAUCUAANUUUUAUAUAUAUAUAUAUAUAUAUAUAUAUAUAUAUAUAUAUAUAUAUAUAUAUAUAUAUAUAUAUAUAUAUACACACACACACACACACAGAGAGAGAGAGAGCAGGACUACUGUGCUUCCGUGCUCCUAAGCCGUUUUUGAUGAUGGAAUUUCCAAAUCAACGAUCGGCUCCGUUAGACUUGAUCUACCAUAUUUGAAGUUUCUAGAAAAUAAUUUUUGUGAUUUUUCGAUAUCAUUUAUCUAGCAAUCGAAAGGAUUCAAAAUUAAUAAUUUUUAACGGCUGAAAAUAAAAAUCCUAUAAAAAGUGGUGAUAUAGCACUAAAAUUUUCGAUCAUAAAUAUCGAUUUUGCUGUAGAUAGUAUAAAAAAUUUUGUAUCAAAAUUUCAUCUGAUUUGAAUACUUCUACACCGUUAAACUUGAAAAUGGCAAAUAUCAACCAUUAAAACUUAUUGAUUUUGAAUCCUUUCGAUCACUAGGUAAAUGAUAUCAAAAAAUCGCAAAAAAUAUUUUCUAGAAAUUUCAAAUAUCCUAGAUCAAGUCUAGCGAAGCCGAUCGUCGAUUCAAAAAUUCAAUGUCAAAGGAAAAAGAUAUUGAAUGAUAUAAAAAUAUUUAAUGAAAAAUAUUAUUCACUAGGAAAAAAAGAUGAAUUAAAAGUUUAUUUCAUUAUGUAUCUAUUCAUACCGGUUCCUAUCCUUAUCCUUAUAUUCUUAUUUUUAUCUUUAUAUCUAUCCUUAUCCUUAUAUUCUUAUUUUUAUCUUUAUAUCUUUUAAUAUGGUUCUGUCAAUAAACCGUAAUUUGAAAUACGUGCUUUUAUAUAUAGGGCGUGUUUGCUUUGCUUUCUUUUUCGCCCUGGAAUCAAAAUCGGAAUCGGAAUCGGCGAAUCCGUUUGUUGGUGUUUGCUACGCGAGAGAACCAUUCCGAUUCCGAUUCCCGAGUGGUCCCCAAUCACCUCUUUUCCAAUCCGGCCUAAGAGGCCGGAUUGGAAAUUAAAGGACGGAAUGGAUAUUUAUUCAGAUUGAAUUUAUUUUUUAAUUUUUAAUUAAAAUAUAAUUUUUAAUUUAAAAGUUAAAAUAUAAUUUUAAAUUUAAAAAUUAAAUUUAUAAUUUUAAAUUUUAAUUUGAAUUUGAAUUAAAAAUUAAAAUUUAAUCAAGUAUUUCGAAUCUAACUUAUGAAUUUGAAUUUAAAAUAAAUUUUAAUUUACAUAAAGUUUUAUUCAAAUUUUAUUUAAAACUUAAUUUAAAUUUAUGGAUUCAUAUUAAAAUUUAAAUUAUAAUUUUAAGUUUUAAUUUGAAUAAAUCAAAAUUUAGUUUUAUAUUUUGAAUUAUCUACUCAAUUUCAAAGUUUAAUUUUUUUUAAAAAAAUAGAUUUAAAAUUUUGACAUUAUUUCAAAAUUUUGAUGUAAUUUUUUAGUAUUUAAUUUUCGAUUUGAAUUUAAAUGUAGUAUCCCUGGUUUUUGGGUUGCCCGUGAGAUUUCAGCAUCUGAGGCUUGUCGAUCCAUCUGAAAAGUGUCGGAACAAGUCGAAGUCGUUUUGGCGCGAAAUGGACGCAAAACGGACUUAACGCGAGGCAAGAAUGGAGUUCUGACGCUGAAAUCCACAAAGUGUAGGAUUUCAGUGUUGAGUACCGGUACCAUAUAUGGGAGUACCGGUACCCCAGUGUUUUUCCAGAGCAGC